AGUGAACGCUGGCGGCGUGCUUAACACAUGCAAGUCGAACGAGAACGGGUUAUAGCUUGCUAUAAUUGUCAGCUAAGUGGCGCACGGGUGAGUGAUGUAUAGGUAAUAUGCCUCUUACUAAGGGAUAACAAAUGGAAACGUUUGCUAAUACCUUAUACUCCUUAUUAACAUAAGUUAAUAAGGGAAAGAUUUAUUGGUAAGAGAUUAGCCUGUAUUGUAUCAGUUAGUUGGUGGGGUAAUGGCUUACCAAGACUAUGACACAUAACUGGUUUGAGAGGAUGAUCAGUCACACUGGAACUGAGACACGGUCCAGACUCCUACGGGAGGCAGCAGUGGGGAAUAUUGCACAAUGGACGAAAGUCUGAUGCAGCAACGCCGCGUGGAGGAUGACACAUUUCGGUGCGUAAACUCCUUUUAUAUGAGAAGAUAAUGACGGUAUUAUAUGAAUAAGCACCGGCUAACUCCGUGCCAGCAGCCGCCGCCG
rnacentral:rRNA from 1 species